rnacentral:rRNA from 1 species
CUGGAACUGAGACACGGUCCAGACACCUACGGGUGGCAGCAGUCGAGAAUCAUUCACAAUGGGGGAAACCCUGAUGGUGUGACGCCGCGUGGGGGAAUGAAGGUCUUCGGAUUGUAAACCCCUGUCAUGUGGGAGCAAAUUAAAAAGAUAGUACCACAAGAGGAAGAGACGGCUAACUCUGUGCCAGCAGCCGCGGUAAUACAGAGGUCUCAAGCGUUGUUCGGAAUCACUGGGCGUAAAGCGUGCGUAGGCUGUUUCGUAAGUCGUGUGUGAAAGGCGCGGGCUCAACCCGCGGACGGCACAUGAUACUGCGAGACUAGAGUAAUGGAGGGGGAACCGGAAUUCUCGGUGUAGCAGUGAAAUGCGUAGAUAUCGAGAGGAACACUCGUGGCGAAGGCGGGUUCCUGGACAUUAACUGACGCUGAGGCACGAAGGCCAGGGGAGCGAAAGGGAUUAGAUACCCCUGUAGUCCUGGCAGUAAACGGUGCACGCUUGGUGUGCGGGGAAUCGACCCCCUGCGUGCCGGAGCUAACGCGUUAAGCGUGCCGCCUGGGGAGUACGGUCGCAAGAUUAAAACUCAAAGAAAUUGACGGGGACCCGCACAAGCGGUGGAGUAUGUGGCUUAAUUCGAUGCAACGCGAAGAACCUUACCUGGGCUUGACAUGUAAUGAACAACAUGUGAAAGCAUGCGACUCUUCGGAGGCGUUACACAGGUGCUGCAUGGCCGUCGUCAGCUCGUGUCGUGAGAUGUUUGGUUAAGUCCAGCAACGAGCGCAACCCCUGUUGCCAGUUACCAGCACGUGAAGGUGGGGACUCUGGCGAGACUGCCCAGAUCAACUGGGAGGAAGGUGGGGACGACGUCAGGUCAGUAUGGCCCUUAUGCCCAGGGCUGCACACGUACUACAAUGCCCAGUACAGAGGGGGCCGAAGCCGCGAGGCGGAGGAAAUCCUGAAAACUGGGCCCAGUUCGGACUGUAGGCUGCAACCCGCCUACACGAAGCCGGAAUCGCUAGUAAUGGCGCAUCAGCUACGGCGCCGUGAAUACGUUCCCGGGUCUUGUACACACCGCCCGUCACAUCAUGGAAGCCGGUCGCACCCGAAGUAUCUGAAGCCAACCGCAAGGAGGCAGGGUCCUAAGGUGAGACUGGUAACUGGGAUGAAGUCGUAACAAGGUAGCCGUAGGGGAACCUGCGGCUG